rnacentral:rRNA from 1 species
GGGGGGCGGGGGGGGGGGGCGUGGGGCGGGCGGGGCGGCCGGGGGGGGGGUGCUGGGGUGGGGUGCUCGGGUGGCGCACGGGUGGGUGGGCCGUGAGUGACCUGGCCUUGACUUUGGGAUGACUUCUGGAAACUGGGGCUGAUACCGGCUCGGAGCUCCUGCUGCAUGGUGGGGGUUGGCAUGUUUAGGCGGUUGGGGAUGGCCUCGCGGGUUAUCCGCUUGUUGGUGGGGUCGUGGCUUGCCACGGCUUUGAAGGGGAGCCGGCCUGCGAGGGUGACCGGCCACAUGGGUACUGAGAGACGGCCCAGACUCCUACGGGAGGCAGCAGUGGGGAAUAUUGCACAAUGGGCGGAAGCCUGAGGCAGAAACGCCGCGUGCGGGAUGAAGGCCUUCGGGUUGUAAACCGCUUUCGCCUGUGACGAAGCGUGAGUGACGGUAAUGGGUAAAGAAGCACCGGCUAACUACGUG